UACGAACUGUGCAAACGUUAUUCGGAAUCACUGGGCUUACAGGGUGCGUAGGCGGUCUGUUAAGUAGGGUGUGAAAGCCCCCGGCUCAACCGGGGAAUUGCGCCCUAAACUGGCGGACUGGAGUGAGAUAGGGGUGUGCGGAACUUCCGGUGGAGCGGUGAAAUGUGUUGAUAUCGGAAGGAACGCCGGUGGCGAAAGCGGCACACUGGAUCUCAACUGACGCUGAGGCACGAAAGCCAGGGGAGCGAAC
rnacentral:rRNA from 1 species